AUGCUUGCAGUUGCCAUAUCUUUACUAAAAUUAGAACCAUACAGAGAAGAUUAGUAUCAUCCCUUGACAAGGAUGGCAGGCAAGCCCAUUAAAAAAAAAAACAAAAACUC
ensembl:snRNA U6 U6 spliceosomal RNA